UUUAUUUAUUUAUUUUUAUUAUUUUUUUCCCAGUGCGUCAGGGGGAAAUUUCUCAGGGCAGCCAUCUGCUUCUGCCUGGACUGAGUUGAGGUGCAGGGUCCUCGUAAAUGGGCAGGAGCACACCAGACACUUCACUGGUUUCCCCUUGGCUAGGCACAGACAGAUUUUGCUGAUGCCUGGGUUCAGGAGGGGUGGCAGAGCGUGCCUGAUGUGAUGCAGAUGGCUCCCUGGGGACAGUUAAGCUCUUCUGCACCCAGCUAUGCAGCCUGCGGUGUGUCCCCCCGCCGGGCAGCAGCUCCCUGCCAAGCCGAUUCCCGUCUGGCUCCGCCAAUGGGACCGGGGUCCCCAGGGACCUAUACGCCAAGGCGUUGCCCAAGACCUCCAACUGAGGCUGCCAGGCCUUCAUGUCUGCUGGAAGA